rnacentral:rRNA from 1 species
GAUGAACGCUGGCGGCGUGCCUAAUACAUGCAAGUCGAGCGAACGGACGAGAAGCUUGCUUCUCUGAUGUUAGCGGCGGACGGGUGAGUAACACGUGGAUAACCUACCUAUAGGACUGGGAUAACUUCGGGAAGCCGUAGCUAAUACCGGAUAAUAUUUUGAACCGCAUGGUUCAAAAGUGAAAGACGGUCUUGCUGUCACUUAUAGAUGGAUCCGCGCUGCAUUAGCUAGUUGGUAAGGUAACGGCUUACCAAGGCAACGAUGCAUAGCCGACCUGAGAGGGUGAUCGGCCACACUGGAACUGAGACACGGUCCAGACUCCUACGGGAGGCAGCAGUAGGGAAUCUUCCGCAAUGGGCGAAAGCCUGACGGAGCAACGCCGCGGGAGUGAUGAAGGUCUUCGGAUCGUAAAACUCUGUUAUUAGGGAAGAACAUAUGUGUAAGUAACUGUGCACAUCUUGACGGUACCUAAUCAGAAAGCCACGGCUAACUACGU